CCAGCAGCAGAUCCGGAGGAGAGUGCUUUUACGACACGUUCAAAGUGUUUGGGGCCCUUAGACCACGCUAACCAUCCAUCCCCAUCUCUCUCUUUCUCUCUCUCUCUCUCCUGUGACAGUGACUCCCUCUUCUCCUCCUCCUCCACCACCACCACCGCCGCCUGCCGCCCCCCUUUUCCUCUUCCUUCUCCUCCUCCUCAUUGUGAAGGCCUAUCCUUCGCCCACGGACAAAAGGAGAGAGAGAGAGAGAAAAUGAGCUCCCAGAAUCAGAAUCAACCACCCAACCUUCCAUUGAAUUUGACAUCAAUGAAUGAGGUGUGUAAAUCGGAAAAUUUAAACAUCAACUCUAGAGGGAUUUGGUCUGGAGACAAUCCUCUGAAUUACGUCGUACCUAUCUCGAUUUUUCAAAUUUUCAUAGUUGUGCUGGUCAGCCGUCUAAUCCACAUCGUCAUCAAACCUCUUAAGCAACCCAAAUUCAUUGCAAGUUUCCUCAGUGGUAUAAUGUUGGGGCCGACGGUGUUAGGGCAGAGUGAGACUCUUGAGAGACUGGUGUACGAUGAAACCAAAGAAGCGGUAUUGAAUACAUUAUCUGAGUUAGCGAUGCUGUACAUGUACUUCUUGGUCGGUGUGAAGAUGGAAACAAAUUUAAUAUUGAAGCCCAAUAGAAAUGCAUUGAAGAUCGGUCUGUCAAACUUUGUAAUUCCUUUCAUGCUCAUAACAUUUUGCCUGCACUACCUACGCUCAUACAUCUUGGUACCGUUGGAGCCAUGGUUUCUCGUAUUAUUGUCUCUAACUUGGGCAAUAAGUUCCUUCCCAGCUAUUGCUCAUGUAAUGGAUGAGCUGAAUCUGCUGACCUCUGAAUUGGGCAAGCUUGCAAUGUCCUGUGCAAUAGUGAACGACAUGGUGUCAUGGUCCUUCAUAGCAGGCACUACCGUUUUCCGGCAGAAAAACUUGGUGAGCGCAAUUUCGGCAAUCGUGUCCGUGGCUGCAUUUCUCGUUUGUACAAUCUACGUGCUACGGCCGGGAAUUGUAGGGAUUAUCAGGAAAACUCCCGAGGGAAAUGCGGUGGGUCAGUCUUCCAUCGUGAUUAUACUGCUGGGAGUGUUGGUGACUGGAUUCAUCGGCGACGUCAUAGGUAUCACUGCUAUGAGUGGGGCUUUUGCCCUUGGGGUAAUUAUACCCGAGGGCUCAACACUGGGGGUGACCGUAGUGGAAAGGACUGAAAUCAUCCUGGGAGAGAUUCUUCUUCCCUUCUUCUUUCUUCGAUGUGGCUUGUUCUUCAAUAUUUUCAAGAUACGGAAUGUUAAGAAUUUGGCAGUUCUGGAAUUCAUCAUUUUCAUCGGACGCGUUGGGAAGCUGAUAGGCACUAUGUUACCUUGCAACCUCAACGCUCAACAUUCACUGUGCCUGGCUCUUAUGUUGAAUACCAGGGGCAUCAUCAACGUAAGCGCGUUCCGGAUGUGGAGAAUUUCUAAGGUGAUCGACGACGAAUGCUUUACUAUAUUCGUACUGAACGACCUCUUGGUCACAGCCUUAACAACGCCGUUGCUCACAAGCCUCUACAAGCCCCCAAGGUACUUCGCCACACACGCAGCGGGAACAAUCCAAAACGCACGACCCAACCAUGAGCUUCGAAUCGUCGCUUGCCUCCACGACGACAGAAGUGUUAACGACAAUACCUCCCUCAUCGAAGCUUUCCAUCCAACCUCGGAAAGCCCCAUCUACAUCUAUGUGCUCCACCUGGUUAAGUUGGUCGGUCGAUCUCUUGCUUUGGUAGCCGAUCCUAGCACCAUUUACAGGUGUGACUCCCGAAAGCUAACUACCUCCGAUCUUAUCAUGAGUGCCUUCAGAAAGUACUCAGACUGCUCCCAUGGGACUGUCGGCUUUCGUCCUUUCACCAUCAUCGCCCCCUACAAAACCAUGCACGAGGAUAUUUGUAAGAUAGCUCAUGAUAACAGGGCUUCUCUAAUUCUGUUGCCAUUCCAAGGGAACGACACCAAUGUGGGUGCAGGGGGUGGUACUGCCUUCUCUAACCUUAUCCAGAACGUACUCACCGUUGCACCUUGCUCCGUCGGCCUCCUUGUGGGUCAGGGUUACAAAUGUUGUCGCCUUGUGGUGCGUGGACACUUCUCUUACAGCGUGCUUUUCAUCUUCUUUGGCGGACCAGAUGAUCGUGAGACACUAGCACUGUGCAGUCGGAUGUCCGCCCACCCCGGAUUGAGUGUCACCGUCAUAAGGUUUCAAAUAUCCGACGACGGCAACGAUAAUGAGAGGGAAAAACAGCUCGACGAAUCAGUCCUACACGAAUUUAGACUCAAGAACAUCUACAAUGACUGUGCAGUGUUCCGCGAGGAGGUUGUAAAUGAUGUGGAGCAAGCUCUGCUUCUAAUUCGAUCUCUAAAGGCUGAGUUCGAGCUUGUGAUGGUGGGGAGACGGCAUGGGGCCUGCAAGAUGCUCAGUGGAGCUAUGGAAGAUUGGAGUGAAAAUUCAGAACUUGGGGUGCUCGGCGACAUGCUUGCAUCCUCAGACUUUUUGCAAAAUAACUACUCUCUCUUGGUUGUGCAAGCAGGGAUGUGAUGGAUAUUUAUAUAUACACUCGCAGUCGAUGUAGAUUGGAAUCUUAUCCUUAAUGCUGCUAACUGAGAAAAAACACACUUGCCCCAACUUUGGAGGUUAAUUGGGCUCGAGCUCUGCAGGUCUGGUUCUUGCAUGCUUACUUUGGUUAGAGAUGGGUUUUGUGAUUAUAUUUUGACAUUUGUAUCGGAAUGUUAGUGC